CGGGGCUCAACCUGGGGCAUGCAAGCGCGAACUGCCAGACUUGAGUGCGCAGGAAGUAGGCGGAAUUCGUCGUGUAGCGGUGAAAUGCUUAGAUAUGACGAAGAACUCCGAUUGCGAAGGCAGCCUGCUGUAGCGCAACUGACGCUGAAGCUCGAAAGCGUGGGUAUCGAACAGGAUUAGAUACCCUGGUAGUCCACGCGGUAAACGAUGGAUGCUCGCUGUUUGCGUCUGACGUAAGCGGCCAAGCGAAAGCGUUAAGCAUCCCACCUGGGGAGUACGCCGGCAACGGUGAAACUCAAAGGAAUUGACGGGGGCCCGCACAAGCGGAGGAACAUGUGGUUUAAUUCGAUGAUACGCGAGGAACCUUACCCGGGCUUGAACUGUAGGCGAACGAUUCAGAGAUGAUGAGGCCCUUCGGGGCGCCUAUGGAGGUGCUGCAUGGUUGUCGUCAGCUCGUGCCGUGAGGUGUCGGCUUAAGUGCCAUAACGAGCGCAACCCUUGUUCGUAGUUGCCAUCGGGUUAAGCCGGGCACUCUGCGAAGACUGCCUCCGUAAGGAGUGAGGAAGGUGGGGAUGACGUCAAAUCAGCACGGCCCUUACGUCCGGGGCUACACACGUGUUACAAUGGCAUGUACAGAAAGCAGGGUGUAUGCAAAUACGCUCGAAUCCCUAAAACAUGUCUCAGUUCGGACUGGGGUCUGCAACCCGACCCCACGAAGCUGGAUUCGCUAGUAAUCGCGCAUCAGCCAUGGCGCGGUGAAUACGUUCCCGGGCCUUGUACACACCGCCCGUCAAGCCAUGAAAGCCGGGGGCGCCUAAAGUCCGUGACCGCGAGGGUCGGCCUAGGGUGAAACCG
rnacentral:rRNA from 1 species